GCCGGUUGUUCCUGGGAGACAAGAGGCCCUGUAAAGGCCACGCUUCGGCUAGGAAGGUUCGAUUCCUUCAACCGGCA
rnacentral:tRNA from 1 species